CCUACGGGUGGCAGCAGUGAGGAAUAUUGGUCAAUGGGCGCGCGCCUGAACCCUCCAAGUAGCGUGAAGGAUGACUGCCCUACGGGUUGUAAACUUCUUUUAUAAAGGAAUCAAGUGAGGCACUUGUGCCUUUUUGUAUGUACUUUAUGAAUAAGGAUCGGCGAACUCCGUGCCAGCAGCCGCGGUAAUACGGAGGAUCCGAGCGUUAUCCGGAUUUAGUGGGUUUAAACGGAGCGUAGAUGGGUUGUUAAGUCAGUUGUGAAAGUUUGCGGCUCAACCGUAAAAUUGCAAUUGAUACUGGCAGUCUUGAGUACAGUUGAGGUAGGCGGAAUUCGUGGUGUAGCGGUGAAAUGCUGAGAUAUCACGAAGAACUCCGAGUGCGAAGGCAGCUUACUAAACUGCCACUGACAUUGAUGCUCGAAAGUGUGGGUAUCAAACAGGAUUAGAUACCCGUGUAGUC
rnacentral:rRNA from 1 species